UAUUAAUGUAAAACAACAGGUAGUAAAAUCAUUCUAUCGAAAAGUAGUUAAGUUAUUUGCGAACGUAGCUUUGGACACGGCUUCAAUAUAAAAAUAGUGACUUAUUUUGUUAGUUCUAUAAAAAGUAGUUCUAUUGCCGGCAUCUUGUUAUCAGCGUGUGUCGAAGUGCCUAAAUUUUAAGCAAAUAGCAACAAAAUCCUAGAAUACCCAUUUCAAAUAUAAUUUGGUUCAAUGGUCCAUAUUUAUAGUUAACUGCAUUACUGUGAAACGUAAUGGUCAUUAAAAUCAUUUUUCUUGUAAAACGUAUUUUAUUCAAUGAUAAAUAUGUAGUUUAUAUUAAAAAAAUAUAAAACUUAAUCAAACGGAUAUUUUUUGAUUCCAUGAUAAAUUUGACUUCAAUUUUACUGCUUCAAACACAAAAAUGCGACUAGCGACGACGAUGACUGUGCGGCAUAGGAAUGUGAAUAAAAUAUAAAAUUUAAUUCCAAAAACUCAACACGAGCACUUAAAUUAUUAUUAUUUGGAAGGAAGCGCUUAUAUCUCUCUAUAAACAACCUUUUACUUUAUUUUUAUUUAUGUAUAUUUUUACGUCUUUCUUAUAGAAAUAUAUGAUCGCGCCUUGGGAAUUUAUCGAGCAAAGAUGUGCAUUACUCCAAAAAGGUAUUUUUCCUUUUGUUUGUAUGUAUGUACUUUUUCCAUCUCCGAGGACAGAUUAUUUCGCACAUAUUUAUCAAGGGAAUACAAAGUACACCGUACGUACACACAUGUGUACAUAUUGAGGCGUGUGCAGUAUCAAGAAAGAAGAAGUCGCCUGGAAAAACAACUAUGAGCACCAUUCCGGAAGAAUUAACUAUCAGAACCGUCCUGUCGAUUUUUCAAAAAUAUUUCUUAAUGUUUAUGAAUUUAAAUUUUGUUUUAAUAAAAGAUUCUUUAAUUCUGUGUAUUUA